CAGUCGCCGCGGGAAUACGUAGGGUGCAAGCGUUAAUCGGAAUUACUGGGCGUAAAGCGUGCGCAGGCGGUUAUAUAAGACAGAUGUGAAAUCCCGGGGCUCAACCUGGGAACUGCAUUUGUGACUGUAUAGCUAGAGUACGGCAGAGGGGGAUGGAAUUCCGCGUGUAGCAGUGAAAUGCGUAGAUAUGCGGAGGAACACCGAUGGCGAAGGCAAUCCCCUGGGCCUGUACUGACGCUCAUGCACGAAAGCGUGGGGAGCAAACAGGAUUAGAUACCCCUGUAGUCCCUGUCUCUUAUAC
rnacentral:rRNA from 1 species